UGUUCGUUAUUUUUUUUUUUUAGGAAGACUAGAAAUAUGUUGCUCCCUUUUUCUCCCCCACUCAAGCUUGAUGGUGGGAAUUGGCCCUGGAGCUGUUUACUGUCAGUUCCUGUCCAGCUUCACUAAAUUUGGUCUGGGGUCACAUCUUAGCUGGGGACUGUGGGGUUCUGUGGUCCCUUCUCGACUUGGCCCAGCUCCACUUGAAUGAUAUUGUUGUCAAAUUGCUAUAAUAGAAUCCAGUUGAUGGACAGACUAUCCAAUGAAUCCAUUAUGUUGGUGGUGGAGCUGGUGCAAAGAGCUCCAGAGCAGCUGCUGGCACUGACCCCCCUCCACCAGGCAGCCCUGGCAGAGAGGGCACUACAAAACCUGGUAAGAGUCCACCCUACCAGACUCAGAUUUGCUGCCCUGGGCAAUUCUUGCUCCUCAGACAAUGCUCUCUGACUGUCCUCCAACCCUCUACUUCUUGCUUUCUUGCUGCCAAACAGGUUCCUGUCUACAAGGCCUGGCCCGUUUUGCCUCUGGGUUCUGUUCCUUGAUAAUAUGCUUCACGUUACUUGUCCAUACCUCUUGGAGUCCGAGAAAUCUCUUGGAGUCCACCUCUCAGUCUUUCUGCCUGCUCCUAUCUGGUCUCAUUGCUUAAGAAAGUGAACAAAGGUAGUGAGCAUCAUAGGGUGCUGAGUUGGGAGCAGGAGGGAGGGAAGGUCAGGGGGCUUGGUGUCUUGAUCAAGGUGUCUGGUAUUCUGAGUCAGAAGUGCAUUGUCCAAGUUCUGAUGCUCUUCUCCAGGCUCCAAAGGAGACUCCAGUCUCAGGGGAAGUGCUGGAGACCUUAGGCCCUUUGGUUGGAUUCCUGGGGACAGAGAGCACACGACAGAUCCCCCUACAGAUCCUGCUGUCCCAUCUCAGUCAGCUGUAAGGCUUCUGCCUAGGAGAGACAUUUGCCACAGAGCUGGGAUGGCUGCUAUUGCAGGAGUCUGUUCUUGGGAAACCAGAGUUGUGGAGCCAGGAUGAAGUAGAGCAAGCUGGACGCCUAGUAUUCACUCUGUCUACUGAGGCAAUUUCCUUGAUCCCCAGGGUGAGAUGAAGGAAGAAGGGAAGGGAGUAAAUGCAUAGAGGGGACUGGUGAGCUGGUUAUGGGGACCCGUGGCCAACGAGGGCAAAGGAUAUGAAGCCUAGAUCUGGGGGGAUACUGCGAAACAGAGACAGGACUUUGGACUUAUAGCUAUAGCAGCAGGUCCUGAUCUGUCC
rnacentral:lncRNA from 1 species